UCCAAAUGCAGACAUGCUUUGUUUUAGUCUGGAUAUACAAUAAAAUUAAUUUAAAUAACUUUAAUCAACUUCAAAAACAGCAAAUUCCAAGACAAUUAGGUUAACUUUAAGAACUCAUAUUUAUUGAGUUAACAGAUGGUGAAUUAAAAAACAAUGAAGCUAAUUUUUAAAAUCAUUCAUUGAAUUAAAAAAAACAGACUUGUUUGACAAAACUGUUUUUAAGCUGGUUUUUCAUCCCAAUAAGCAUAUUUUAAGAUUUCAAUUUGGGGGACUUCUGGAAAGACACCAAAUGAGUUGCAGAAUAUGAACACUGUUCCACCAAAUUACUUUUUAAAAAGCUUUAGGACCAUCUGAAAAUGAUUUUAUGAUCAACAAUAAAAACAUAAGAAAUAAGCAUAUUUCAAUUAUUGGAAAGAAUGGGAGAUCUGUUUCUUCAUUUCCAGUUUGUUCUCUAACAUGCUUCUGUGUUCGUCUAUGGUGCUGACCCUGACAUACCUUGGGAAAUGUCUAUGCUAGCAGAAUGAAAGUUGCUCCUGGCCAGAACUGCAGCUCUGCCUUUUAAUAUUGAAACAUAACAAGCUUUCAUCUGAUGCCUUCUUGAGCCUUGUGCACGAAUAGCUUGAAAUAUGUUAACACCAUAAAAAUCUUCCGCUUUGGUCUUUUUCAUUUUGUCCUUUACUCUCUACUUGGGAGUUGCUAGAAGCUGACUGUGAACUUACAGGGAAAGGGAAAUUUUUUGGAAGCACACUGAAAGCAUGGGGGAGUUUUCCUCUUAGACUCCACGUGGUUUGGGUCUCCUGGCAGUUUUUUGGACUUGGAAUAGUUAACAUUCCCCCAUACAUGAAGUGUAGCAGAAACUGGUUGCUUCUAUAUGAUAAUUCAAUCACAUUUACUUCCGGAGGUCUUAUAGAUUGAAUUGGAGAUACCAUUGGUGCAUUAAGAUAAAUCAUUUAAUUGUAUUGGCUAACAUUAGUUUUAAUAUGAUAGCAUAUUUCCAACUAGAGCUAUUCACAUAGAAAUAACGUUUCAUUAAAACUUUGAAAUACAUUUGUUUGACUGGUUGCUCAAUUAGUGUUAAAGUCUUUCUUUUGCACAUGGACAGUUGGAAACUGACAUAAUUUAUUUUAUGGUCCUAGAAACUCCUUGUCUAAGAUUAGCUCUUGCUUUACAUUGUAAGUAUUAUCUUACUUGAUCAGUAAUGUUUAAGACUAUAAUUUAUGGGUUUUGAUCAACCAAUUUAUUAGUUGUAAUUUGAGUUAAAAACAAAGAAAUAUGCAAACAUUUAUAAUUGAGCUACUGUUGUAAAAAAAAAAAAUUAUUGUGCGUUUGAAACUCUUUAGCCCCUAGCCUCUUUACCCCCUGAAAUAAUUGUUUUUAUGAUAAUAUUUUGAUAAUAUGAACCUCUUUUGAAAUGUAAUUAUAAUAAUUUAGCAGGAGAUAGUAUAUUGUUUAUGAUUAAAUAAGAACAAGUAAAAAU
rnacentral:lncRNA from 1 species